rnacentral:ncRNA from 2 species
UUAAAUAGAAUGACCAUGGGUACAACGAUAUAUUGGAUAUCGUUGUUUAAAAGGGAAGAUCGGUUAAAAUCCGACACGGUCCCGCCACUGUAAUGGAUAGAGCUUUACGGAUACCACUGUGCUUUUAAGGCAUGGGAAGGUGUAAAGCUUGUAAUUCCUUAGUCAGGAGACCUGCCAAUGGAAAAAGCGCUGU